GACGAACGCUUGCGGCGUGCCUAAGAAAUGCAAGUCGAGCGGAGGUAGCGGCUUCGGCCUCUACCUCAGCGGCGAACGGUCGCGUAACACGUAAGCAACCUGCCCCCGAGACCGGGACAACCCCGCGAAAGCGGGGCUAAUACCGGAUGUGGCCACUGGUAGGCAUCUACCGGUGAUUAAAGCGAUCACAUCGGCUCGGGGAGGGGCUUGCGGCCUAUCAGCUAGUUGGUGGGGUGACGGCCUACCAAGGCGACGACGGGUAGCUGGUCUGAGAGGA
rnacentral:rRNA from 1 species